UGCUGUAAGAAGGAUUUUUCCUUGAAAUCAUUGCUAUAUAUUGGUUGAAAUCAUAUUGCAUGCCUAUACUUGAUAUACUGGUAGCAUUUGCAUGUUGAAAAAAGACUCCAAACUGAUUUAACAUGUGAAAUUUAUUCAUACACCCCUACCCUAAAUUGUGAUUGUCAUUUCAGUGUAAAAAUUACGGUGUGUCCGUUUGACCAGAAAUAUUUUUCUUGCAUCAAACAUGACCCCUACUUUUUUUUGGAUAUUUUACAGUAUAAAUGUUAUUCUACAAGAAAAUAGUUAAACAUUUCCUGUAGCAGCUUAGGACAGUACAGUUUGUGAGUUAACAGAUCAGGGUGAGCCUCAGUGUUUCCUGGUGUACUGUACUCAUCCGCCAACUUAGGACAGCUGUUUAGUGAUCGCAGAGGUGCAACACCCGUUUCAGAGCCAUUUACAUCAUUUAGUGAGGAUUCCUGUGUCUGACAGUACUGAACCUGAGGAAUUUCACACAUUUUUGAGCAGAGACCAGGUGUGCAGUAUCAACACCUUUUUAGUUACAUUUUGACAUGAAUUGUUGGAGAGAACUUGAAUACCAUGGCCAUGAGAUAUGACUUUAGCUAUAGAAUGCAAAAAUAUGCAGUAUUGUUGCAUUUGUGAUGAAAAGAAAGACAAUUUUCCCAUUUUUACUGAAAAAUAAGCUUUU